rnacentral:rRNA from 1 species
GAGAAGCUUGCUUCUCUUGAGAGCGGCGGACGGGUGAGUAAUGCCUAGGAAUCUGCCUGGUAGUGGGGGAUAACGUUCGGAAACGAACGCUAAUACCGCAUACGUCCUACGGGAGAAAGCAGGGGACCUUCGGGCCUUGCGCUAUCAGAUGAGCCUAGGUCGGAUUAGCUAGUUGGUGAGGUAAUGGCUCACCAAGGCGACGAUCCGUAACUGGUCUGAGAGGAUGAUCAGUCACACUGGAACUGAGACACGGUCCAGACUCCUACGGGAGGCAGCAGUGGGGAAUAUUGGACAAUGGGCGAAAGCCUGAUCCAGCCAUGCCGCGUGUGUGAAGAAGGUCUUCGGAUUGUAAAGCACUUUAAGUUGGGAGGAAGGGCAUUAACCUAAUACGUUAGUGUUUUGACGUUACCGACAGAAUAAGCACCGGCUAACUCUGUGCCAGCAGCCGCGGUAAUACAGAGGGUGCAAGCGUUAAUCGGAAUUACUGGGCGUAAAGCGCGCGUAGGUGGUUUGUUAAGUUGGAUGUGAAAUCCCCGGGCUCAACCUGGGAACUGCAUUCAAAACUGACUGACUAGAGUAUGGUAGAGGGUGGUGGAAUUUCCUGUGUAGCGGUGAAAUGCGUAGAUAUAGGAAGGAACACCAGUGGCGAAGGCGACCACCUGGACUAAUACUGACACUGAGGUGCGAAAGCGUGGGGAGCAAACAGGAUUAGAUACCCUGGUAGUCCACGCCGUAAACGA